rnacentral:rRNA from 1 species
AUUGAACGCUGGCGGCAUGCCUUACACAUGCAAGUCGAACGGUAACGGGCCUUCGGGUGCCGACAAGUGGCGAACGGGUGAGUAAUACAUCGGAACGUGCCCGAUCGUGGGGGAUAACGAGGCGAAAGCUUUGCUAAUACCGCAUACGAUCUACGGAUGAAAGCAGGGGACCGCAAGGCCUUGCGCGGACGGAGCGGCCGAUGGCAGAUUAGGUAGUUGGUGGGAUAAAAGCUUACCAAGCCGACGAUCUGUAGCUGGUCUGAGAGGAUGAUCAGCCACACUGGGACUGAGACACGGCCCAGACUCCUACGGGAGGCAGCAGUGGGGAAUUUUGGACAAUGGGCGCAAGCCUGAUCCAGCCAUGCCGCGUGCAGGAUGAAGGCCUUCGGGUUGUAAACUGCUUUUGUACGGAACGAAAAGCCUUCUUUUAAUACAGGAGGGUCAUGACGGUACCGUAAGAAUAAGCACCGGCUAACUACGUG